rnacentral:rRNA from 1 species
UACGUAGGGUGCGAGCGUUGUCCGGAAUUACUGGGCGUAAAGAGCUCGUAGGUGGUUUGUCGCGUUGUUCGUGAAAACCUGAGGCUUAACCUUGGGCGUGCGGGCGAUACGGGCAGACUGGAGUACUGCAGGGGAGACUGGAAUUCCUGGUGUAGCGGUGGAAUGCGCAGAUAUCAGGAGGAACACCGGUGGCGAAGGCGGGUCUCUGGGACGGUACUGACGCUGAGACGCGAAAGCGUGGGGAGCGAACAGG